AACGAACGCUGGCGGCAGGCCUCAUACAUGCAAGUCGAGCGGACAGACCCCUUCGGGGGCGAGUUAGCGGCGAACGGGUGAGUAACAGGUGGAUGAUCUGCCUCCCGGUGGGGGAUAACGGCUGGAAACGGCCGCUAAUACCGCAUUCGAUUGAUGCAUUACGGUGCAUUAAAGAAAGGCGCUUCAAAGCGUCGCCGGGAGAUGAGUCCGCCCCCAUUAGCUAGUUGGUGAGAUAAUAGCCCACCAAGGCAACGAUGGGUAGCCGAGCUGAGAGGUUGAUCGGCCACACUGGAACUGAGACACGGUCCAGACACCUACGGGAGGCAG
rnacentral:rRNA from 1 species